UCUCGGCUUAUCACCGGCAGUCCCCCUAGAGUGCCCAACCUAAUGAUGGCAACUAGGGGCGAGGGUUGCGCUCGUUGCGGGACUUAACCCGACAUCUCACGACACGAGCUGACGACAACCAUGCACCACCUGUACACCGCCCUUGCGGACCCCGUAUCUCUACGAGUUUUCGGUGUAUGUCAAGCCUUGGUAAGGUUCUUCGCGUUGCAUCGAAUUAAACCACAUGCUCCACCGCUUGUGCGGGCCCCCGUCAAUUUCUUUGAGUUUUAACCUUGCGGCCGUACUCCCCAGGCGGGGCACUUAAUGCGUUAGCUACGGCACGGAGGGCGUUGAUAACCCCCCACACCUAGUGCCCAACGUUUAGGGCGUGGACUAC
rnacentral:misc_RNA from 1 species